UUCUCCCACCUCCAUCCCCGGCCAAUCCGAGCGCUGCCAGCGCGGCGGCGGAGAUGCGAGGGGCAGAGCUGCGGAGCGCCGUGUUUGCCUUCUCCCCUUCUUCCUCCACAGCACAGCAGCUCGGGUUUUGUUUGCCAGCUCGGGGCCGGAGGGGAGGCGUGGGUUGGAGCUUGGAGGCAGCUCCCGUCCUUCCCCAGCAAAGCAGAAUAGCCUCAGAAACACGGGAUGGGAUUUCAUCGCUGCUCAAGGGAGCCUUGUUCUUAAUCGCGGGCAGAGCAGUGUCUGAUCUCUAGAGCUGCAUUUCCGGGAUCCGGCUUUUGUUUCCAGGACUGCAAAGAUGACUCUGGAAAAUGGCACGCAGAGAGUUUCCCCCCAGCCCUGGCACUGAGGUAGGUCUGGGAAAGCUCCUGAGUCACCCUGGUCCCCAUUUGUUCCCAGCCGUGCCUGGGGGAGAUGGGGGAGCACCAACACCACCAGGGCCUGGUGACAACCUCCAGGUGAGUCUCCAGCUCCUCUGGGCUGCAGAGGGUUUGAAACCUCUGUUUGCAACCCCUUUUUUUGCCCUCCUGGUGUCACCUGGUCACUGCUUAGGCAGAUGGUGUAGAGGGAAGAAAGAGUUUCCCAGUGUGAAACCCAAGGGAUGUGUGGAUCGUGCCAGGAUGGCGCCAGCUGAGCAUUUUGUGCUCCCAGGCAGCAAACAAACCUGUGACUGGUGCCAUCUCAGGACAUGGUGGCUUCAGGGAGAGAUCAGUCUCCAGUGACCACCAGGAGCAGCCUCUGAGCCCCAACAUGGGAGCUGAGCCCAUGCCCAAAAAUCCCUUGGCAAAUUCCUCAUGAACCUCUCUAGGAACGGGACUGCUCCAUGGCCAAAGUCCACCUUCAGCACUGCAUAACUGCUCAUCCUCAGGGUGUUUGCCCUGGCAUUCCUCACUGCCUGCUGAGCAUGGAGCACAGGGCACAGACUCCUCCUGGGGUCCCUGGGGCUCCCCAUCCACCUGCUGGUUUACAGUCCUUUAUAUUGAGCUGGAUUAGAUGACUGUUUCUGGAUUACAGCCCUUCAUACUGAACUGGAUUAGAUGACUGUUUCUGGAUUGCAGUCCUUUAUAUUUAAUAACUGGAUUAGAUGACUGUUUCUGCAGCUACUGUUACUG